CAGCGCCACGAGUGGGAAUCACAAUUAUUGGGCCUAAAGCGUUCGUAGCCGGUUUGGUAAAUCCUUUGUGAAAUCGUACAGCUUAACUGUGCGGCGUGCAUGGGAGACUGCCAAACUUGGGACCGGGAGGAGCUGGAGGUAUUCUGGGGGGAGCGGUAAAAUGCUAUAAUCCUCAGAGGACCACCUGUGGCGAAGGCGUCCAGCCAGAACGGAUCCGACGGUCAGGAACGAAAGCCAGGGGAGCGAUCCGGAUUAGAUACCCGAGUAGUCC
rnacentral:rRNA from 1 species